rfam:Canis lupus familiaris chromosome 4, whole genome shotgun sequence.
AGGAGGAACAACCCCACUGGCGGCGGCCAGCUCCCCAGCCCUGGAGUCAGCUCCCGCAGGAACUACCGCAGCUCCCUGUCCACACUGGCCUGGAUGCUCCGGGCGGGG